CUCAAACAAGAUGUUAGACAUGUCCAUGUGCUUUGCUGAAUGAGUUUCAUACCUCUCCUGAGGAGAGGCUUCGGCUUCCAAGGGGCACUCUGCUACCUCCAGCAUGAAGCAAUGGAUUGCCAGUGCAGGCUUCUUAUUGUACUGUGUUACAAACAUGCAAUAAGAACCUGGAAAAAACAAGGCUAACCAAAGUCCUUUUUUAGAUGAUACAGUAGGAAUAACGAAGCCUGGCUUAUUUUUCAGGAAGCGAUGUGUGUGAAGGUUUCCUUUGGGAGUAGGGGAAGUGUGUUCUGAGUAUGCUUAUCUGGUUUUAAUACUUUCUGGUUUGGAUAACCUCAUUCAUUUGAUGUCCAAUCUUAUAAAAGGUCACAAAUAAGGAUGAGAACUAACUUUGUGAUUUGCAACCCUAUAACAUCCCACAGCCAUUUUCAGCAAUGAAGCAGCUGUUCAUGUUCUUGAUUCUUUGUGGGAGACAAGUCUUUGCUAAAACAACCAUCAAAAAAAACUAAGCAGGCUGUAAAUGCAUCAUUUUUUCACUAUUAUUAACCCUGACCCAACAAGUCAGACUAUUUCGCUCUUGAAACUGUGAGAUAGUGUCACUGGCCGACACAUACUUGAGCUUGCCUUCCCGCAUUUCAAGAAAAAGUGGGGGUUUUUUCCAUUUAAUGAAAACUCACAUUUUUUUGUCUUCCUUUAUUCAUUUAUUUUUGAGGCCUUCCACCUCUGUUAACUGUGGGAAAAGUCUUCACUUUGCCAGGGUACAGCAGGCAUUGUAAAAGUAAUUCAAUUUUACACCACAGCAAUGACGUGAUCAAGGGAACUUUGAGCAGGCUUUGUGACCAAAAGCAUUUAACAAGUAUGUGAAAAGCUUCAAAAGAGCCUUCAUGAAAGAAAGAAAGGUUAUAACAAUAGGAGAGGUAGUUUGAUAGUGGUAAAUUAAGAGUCAUAGGAGUGUCUUUAAUCAUGUUAGACUUUAAAGAAAGAGAAGCACCUUUAUACCUCUCUGGUAUAGGCCUGAGUGCAUGAAGAACCGUUGUGUUUCAGUUGGGAAGUACACAAAUAAAUCCCUGCGGCACUCGCUCCUCCUUGGACUGAAGAAUUCAGCCAUGCAAGGACAAAGACCUUCUAGGCAAAAUAAGUAAAACUGCAGAUUUGGAGGAGUACAUUGGAAAAAUAUGUUCUUUGUUGGGUUUAGUCAAUAUCUAGACCUCCUUAGAGGUUGCCACCUUCCAUCCUGUGCCCUGUGGAAACUACCUGACAUUUCUAAUGCAAGCACAAAAACAGUCUUGUCUAUAAAAGCACUGGUGAACCAUUCACGCAUGUUACUAGUUCAUAAGGUGUGCGCAGCCUGAGCUAGAUUCUAUCCUGUGCUAUACCCCAGUGAAGUACAUCAAGCACCACAUAGAGAAAAGGCCAUGCAAAUGACAAAUUAUUAUAUAUAGCCUAUGUAUUCAUAUGCACGCUAAGGAGACUGGUCCUGGGAAUAUUAUUAAAAACUAGGGUUUGUAAGGAAUAUGUAUAUAGAUGAAUGUUUUAAAGGAGAAUCCAGCUAUCUAAAAAGACGACACAUACACAAACAGCCUAUCAAGUUGUUCGGACUAGUUUUAUUGUUUCUCACAUGUGGCUUAAUAAACACCUUUUAUAUAUGUGUUACUGUGAAAAAAUGGUCAGAGUUUAUUUUGCACAGGAAAAAGUUUAUAGCUUGUCUUUUUCUCUGCUAGGGAAAAUAAGAAACAAAUAAGUUGGGUCUGACUCGUUUUUGCAAUCGACAGAGACACCUACAGGAAGACAAAAUUAACACAUUGGCAUAUUGGGUGUUUUCUGCUUUAUUUGUUCACAGCUUGAGCCUAUUACCUAAUAGAGACACGAGAAAAUGGCCCAUCUGUUUGCAGUGGGUAAAUGUUAGACUUGCAUGUCAGCAUCCUGUACCUAAGCUAUAGUAACUACAACAGGUUAACUGCAGCUAUCUGCAACAUUUGUGCAUACAUAGCACUUCCAUGUUUGGAGAGAUCAAAGAGCAGUGACUUCUGAGCAGCCCAUUUUCCAGAUGUCCACAAGGCAAAUGAGCCACUGCUACCAGGAUUCAGGGCUGCUCUGUGAAAUAUAGCCUGUGUACCCUCUGGGGUUCCUGCAGAAGUGGUUUUCUCUGGUUUACAGUCUUUAAGGUAGGUCCAUAUUUCUAGAAAUAGUCCUAGCACAUUGUGGGCUCUGUAACGCUAAUCUAAACUCACAUACUGAGCAUGCAGAUAUUUCAGGGACAGGAGCUGUACAACUUACUCAUAUGUAGAUAACUGGGGGCUGCCUAUCACUGCAGAGCCACCUGCUUACGUACAGCACCUGCACUGUAUGAAUUUACACCAGGAGCUCAUUAACAACUUAGUGCUGGGCUGCAAAGCAUUUUUUUUUUUCAGGAAUGUCCUCUAUUAUGUUCCCAGCAAUCUGUUGGCCAUCAACACCUUGCUGAUAAACUGGAAAUCUUCACCUUCUUCCAUCCCCACCUCUCAAAUGACCCAUGAAAGAGUCUUGAAGAUCAAAGAAAUCCUCUUCCACCUUAUCCUUCUGGCAGAGAGGCCGAUGGGAUUUAGCACCCAUGUGGGAAUAUGAGCACUGGUAACUGGAGAGUGGUAGGGGUGAAAAAUGACUAGAGGGAGGUGAUGGUGGAAGAACCCAGAAGAUGAAUUACCUGGGGAGGACGUGCAUACUGAAUUGGGUCUCCAUAGCAAAUGUGAGAAGACAGAAGAGAAAUUACUUUCUCUGCCCCAAAUAAAGAUCAAGGAGUAUUUGCAUUCAAAGGGGUUGGAUUUUGCACAUACCUCAUCUCUUCAGUCACUUUCUUUUAACUGGAAAUCCUCACUAACUGAUUAUUCUGCAAAUUCUGCUCCUGUACAUCCUAUAUCUGAAAGGCUUACUUGUUUCUCCAGUGCUGACUGCAUGUGUUCCUUGCCCUUGCAUUUGCUGUUCAAAGCCAAAUAAAAAGUGUAAAGCAGUUAGAUGAGAGAACUAGGCAAUUCUAUGAGAUUUUUAAAAGAUCGUGCAAUUCCAAUACUUUAAAGGUAAACGCCUGUAUACUAGAGAUAACCAAGCAAAUUAUUCAGUAAGUCUUAUCCAUUAUUUAUCCUAUUUUUUUCAGCAAUUUUAGGCUUUAUCUUGAGUGUAUGUUAGAAAACUCAGCAACCUGGGGGCUUUUCACAGCACCUUAGGAAGACUAAAGUGGAGCUGAUGAAUAAUCAGUGAUGGAACAGCUGUUAUCCAGAGAUAACAGAGGACUUCAGGCUGCAGAUGUGCAUGGGGUCAAGGGAGACAAUGUUGUGCAUGAAAAAAGUCAUACAAUGGAGUUCUGUGUAUUUUCUUCAGAUUUGAAGAACAAAGAAGCAACGACCUUUUGUCUGCUGCUGUCAUUCCCUGCUUCACCAUUAAGGUAGUUUUCUUUUUUUUUCCUCCCCUUAAUGGGAGGUAUUUUGAAAUAGACCCCUGCCAAUCAUGCCCUGAAAAAGAUGAGCCCAUCCAUCAGCAGAAUCCCUUUUAAAAGUUUUAGUAUUCUGAAUGUCAAAGCAUGUGGCAGUCAAGUUAACACAGCAUUUUUGAUACCUGUGAUUUGGAUGUAUUUGUUUCAAAGGUUAAUUUUUAAUUGCUGGGUAUGCCAAGUUUCAAAGGACAAAUGAAAAACAGAAGAAAGCAGGACUAUACUCUUGGGUUCAGUAAAGAUCUUUCCAUCCUCCAACAAUGGUCAAUAGUGCUGUGCAAGAAUAGAGCUAGCAAAGAGAGAGAAUUCUUUUCGCGUAUCCUGGCUUCUGGCAGACUGUGAUUUAAGGACUUUUGAGUUGAGAAUGUAUCCAUGUCUUUGCGUUGAAUUGCAUUUGUGGACUGUUCGUAUCUGGAUUUGUGUUUCCUUGUUUUGUUGUUGUUAAUGUAUCUAAAGCUUCAUAAUUGAUACUGUAAAUGAAAAGGCACUUCUGUUUGUUUUCACCUUGCCAUCAAAUCGUUUCAGGUGAAGCUUGUUAAUAUUUGUAUUGUGAGAAAUUACAAAUAACUGUUCCCUUGUUGCCUCUGCAUAUCCAUCACAAUGUUACAUAUCACUGUUGUUCCUCAAUUAGAGUCUUUGUCUGCUUAAUCUCCCCUUCCUUGAAAAUAAUCUUCAAGCAUCUCUGCACAGUGUUUCACCUGGCUUCCAGCGUGGCCAGGGGAGCAAGAAUUGAGCAAGCGCUGUGCUGUGCCAUAGUCCUUCAGCGCGUGCUGAGCUCACCUUGGCCAUGGGCAGGUCCCCAGCACCUGAAUGGGAGCAGGCAGCUUCUCUCAGAUCCUGCUGCAGAAGUGCCCAAACCUCUGAAGUACUGCCAUGCCACGGCAAGUUGUACAGGGACAAAGUUCAUAAAAUUGUGUGCUGUGGGACCAGUUUGCCAGGAAAGUCAGCGUUACUCACCUGAGGCUGAGCAUAAACCUCUCUUUCUUCUGGCAGGAGGGCAGCUCUUAGAGGACAGGGACCCCAGAGCAGAGCUCUGUACCAGCUGUGUGCCCAGGAGCAGGGCAUGCUACCACCUGCAACCACCCCAGCCCAAAUGUCUCCCCGGCGCUGGCAGCAGGCUGCACUCUGUGUUUGGCUCUAAGGUCCCUGUCCCACACACCCACCACCCUGCCGUGGGGCCACUACUUAUUCCUCACUUGAGAGCCUUAAUGAACUGAUCAUGUUCGAAGUGCUGGGACUUUUUUGGAGGAAGAUGAGUGCUCAUUGAUCAUCUCUCAAGCUAGGCAGGGGAGUGCUUAUCCUCCAUGUAGCAUCUCUUGUAUUCGAAAGAGACUUGUGUUGGGUUUAGUUGAGAAAUGCAAGUGAGAGCACACAGCAGUUAUGUUCCCAGCCCAGCUUGUUAUUUUUUAUGGCUCCCAUCCCCAACAGAGGACAAUGGUUUCUGUUGCUCUUAUAGUCUAUGGGAAGCUGGUGUUUGACAGUACACUCUAAAUGCUUAUGUUUUGGUUUUCUGACUGGAUUUUUAUUUUACAGUUGAAGUUAGUAUUUUUACUCUUAUUUUAUCAUUGGGUUUUUCUUUAAAAUUGCUUUCUCCCCUCCUCCACUCUUCAUUCUUUUGGCACAGCCUGACACUCACCAGCUGUUCACAAUUCCUUCACCCCUUCUGUUUUUCAGCACCAAACUACCACAACAUAGAGUUAAAGUACAUCUUCUUCCUUGCAGGAGGCUUUCCGUGCCCACUGAAUACAUUUCAUAAAAAUACUUUCCUCUCUCUCUCUUUCCUGCCUUGGAGGAAAGUUAUUAUAUCUGUAAGCCUCACAUAAUUCAGAUUGGGCAAUCUGUCAUCUUUGAAUUACCUGAGUUUGAUUUCUUGAUUGUUUUUAGAUCCUAGGAUGACUGAUCCUCUUCUCUUCUUGAUACAGCAAGUUCUUCCACAAAGUGAGUUCUCAAUAAUUACUUUUCAACAAAAUGUUCAGUCAUAAAUGUGGUCGCCUCUCCCCUGCCCUUUCCGUUUUGUUUUGUGCAAUUGAUUUUUUUUUUCCCAGGCUGAAACUUGACCAAAAAUCAGUGUAUUCCCAUAUACCAGCAAAUUGUACCCAGAAGAGGCAAACUGGAAUGACAUUGUGAAGCAACCGGUUACAGCAGAGUCAUCUAUUGAAGAGAGAGAGAAUAGCUUUUACUCAGCGAAGUGCAGAGCAUGGCAACUCCCACUGUUGCUAAUGGGAGAAGAGGCUGCUGAGCUCCUCUCAGGAGUGUACUGUUUUAAUUUCCAAUUGAGUUAUUUGUUCACUUGUUAAAGAACUCAUCUCUUAGGGCAGUGACUCUCAAAGACAAUAAUAGUGGCUGCAUGCAGCCACCAGGGAAUUCAUCGCAGCCACAAGACAAAAACUUGCUGUGAUUGUUCAGUUCUGUUUUGACUUAAACUGUCAAAACUGUGGCCACCAUUAAUUUACUGUGAUGGCACGUGUCACAGCUGCUUGUCUGAGAGUCACUGGUUAGCCCUGUCUCUCUUUUAGGCACUUGAAGCAGGAGUUCCCAAGCUGCAGUCUGAUGGACCAUGUCAUGUAGUCUGCAAAACCAUACUAACAUCGCACCUUGGCAUUGUCCCUCUGAUUUUUCAGUUAAAAGCCCUUUGGAAAGGGGUGCAACAGGCUGCAGGAAACACCAGGGUGCUCCAUGGCUCCAGAGGAAAUGGGGACAAUCAAACUGACAGGUCAAAUUUGCUCUCAGCGCGCAUCUCUGCCAGUUUCCGCUCGCAGGUGACUGGUGUCUUCUGCUGUCCAGGCUCCCUGCCCCUGGCUUUCAUCUUCCAGAUAUAUCCUCUGCUGCCUGUAGAGCAACCUCACAGGCAUCAAAGCAUCCCCAAAACCUGGUUUUCUAGGGAACUGGCCGUGUCAGAUUUACAGUACAAGAAAGACUCCUCCAACAACACCCAAUCCAAGAGCUUGUCAUAGCUGGAUUGCCUCAAAACCUAUCCCUUCAAAAAAUGAUUUUGCUAAUGAAUUGGCUUCUUUUCCAUUGUUGAUAGACAAGGACAAAAUUAAAAACAACAAACAUGCUUAGUUGCAAAAUGUCACACAAAAGAUAUACGUAUAUCCAUUUAUUUUACUACCUUCCUUUCUUGUCUUUUCCUUUCAUUCUUAUCCAGCUUCUGGAGGAGCCAUUGUGUGGGUAGAAUCAAGAGCAGAUUUCAAUGGUAGGGAGUAAAGGACAAAAUCUUCCCUGCACAAUGUAGUAUACUGUUUCCAUACCGUAAAACUUUUUAUGAGCAUACUGUUCCUCAUAUGAAACAGUUUUCUCUCCUUUGAAUGAUCAGCUUUGUAUUAUUUUUUAAUUAUUUAUCUGUAUAACAUCAAAGCUCUAGUUUCAACACCCUCCCCCUAAAGCCCAGCUUCAUGGAAGUAUUUGCUGUAUGGCUUAGGAUAGUACUUGCAUGUGCUUCAAGGCUUGCAAAAAAUAACCAAAGAGAGCAAAAGAAACUCAAGUGCUUUGGCUUUAAGGAAAAACAUUGACUGUGGACAAAUAUUAGUAAUAUCGUAACCAUGAGGUAAGAAGGUAUUGAUUCGCUGUUGAUGGCCUGCAUGAGAACUGCAAAAGGGAAACAGACCUCUGAAAUUCCCAAGACAUGACCAAGCAGUGAGUUAGAAAUAAGCCUUACAAUGCACUGCAGCCCAGGCAGAGCAGAGGCAUCCAGGAAAGGCUGCAAGUGAGCUAACUGCUGACCAAGGAAGGUCAACAACCCAGGUAAGUAAAGAGCAACACUGGGAAGCAGACUCUGCUCUUGAGUUUGGGUCUCUCCUCUCCGCAGGAGGAAGGUAGAAUCCCUGUGGCCCUGCAGAAGAGGUGACAAUUCAGGACUGGUGAAGCUCAGAUGAGGAGACACCAAGGGCUAGCAUAUGAACUGCUUUAUUUUAGGAAAAGAGUUGGAUCUUUCUGGCCUUAGAGAGAGACAGUCCAGGCACGCGUGCAUGAUCUCUGUAAGGCAUGUACAGGGUGCUGGAUAUGCCCUCCACACACAGACUUUGAUGUAGCAAGCAUGUCUGUCACUCCUUGAAACUCCGUUUGUCUUCCCCACAAAUGCUGGGGAGUCUCCAGGGGUAUGUUUGGUAAAGGUAGCUGAGUCUGCAGCACCUGCAGUGGAUGAUGGAGGUUAUCGUCCUGCCUACGAGCUAUGAAAUGCUCACAGUCCACCUGAUCAAAGCUCCUGGGAAAAAGAAGUGCUAUAUCUAUGGCAGAUGGCCUCGUUUGCCAGUGACAGAAGAACACACUGCUGGCACCAGGCUGCUGUGCCUGUCCCUGGCUGCUAACAGAUGCCCUCAUGCUGCCUCUGGUUUCUCUCAGGUGGGUGGUACAUGUGAACAAAAUACAUAGGUGGCAACACGAGACCUUACUCCUCCCUGAUGUGUAGAGGCUGAGUUCAAGAGGUCCAGGAAGCAGCUGGGACUGCAAGCUCAGAUCCUUCCUAGGGAUAGGGAAGGCAGUCUUUCCCUUUCAUUCACUUUCUCAAGCAAAACAGUAACCAGGACUUACUUUCUUUAGGGAUCCUUCUGGAGAUCUCACUGAGCCAACUCCAUGAUGUCUGGCACCACAAAUUAGAUAAAGCGCUUGGCAUUUCCCGGACAGCCCGUACUCCAUAAGGCCUCAGUGUGUGAAUACGAGGACGGCUUGAAUGUUGCCUGCUGAGACUGAAGAAGAACUUGAGUGAAAAUAAUCCUCUCUUUUGUUCCGCUUGGGUUGCUUUUUGUUUGCCUGACAGAUGUUCGGCCCCUGUGCGUGUGCAUGGAGCGGCUCCUCCGCUGGGCCCUCUGAUCCGCCAGCUUAUUGAUUUCUGCCUAUCUGUGCGGCUUGUCUCCAGCCCUUACAGAUGCGAGGGCUGCAGCCCGGGCAGCAGCCCCUCUCCUUUGCACACAAAUAGGGCAACCCUCUAUUGUGAGGGGGCCGGUGGAGGAGAGCUGGCCUCACUCCCUCUUGAGCCGUUUUGACAAAUUCAGGCGGGUUUUGGGGGGGCAAAGGGGAAGAUACCCAGGUGCAAUGCUGCGUUUAUGACAUGCAGUGACACACUAUUGUGCAGAUGCAAAAGUAAACAGGAAGGAAGAAGCUGUAAGCAGAGAGACCUCGGAGCUUUGCAUUCUGCCUGUGUGUUAUCUCAAGUUCAUAUUUCAGUCACUUGACCAAUGGAUGUAGGUAUCAAAGUUGUCGCCAAGGAAAGCCUUGUAAACCACAGUAUUUGCUGUUGCCCUGCUUCUCCUCCAUGGCAUUGCUACUCACUGCUCCCAGUUUCACUGACCGGCCUAGCCACACAGUUUUGCAAUAAAGACUUUCAUCUUACAAUUAAACAGGUUUGUAAGCUGCUUGUAACAUUUUUCUUCCAUCUUUUUGUUUUGUUUUGUCUUGCUUUUCUGCAUUCUGAGUUGUGGCACAAGGAUUCUGUCAGCAGGAAGGUGUCAGAGUGCUCUGCGAAGGUGGCGUGCUGCAGAUCUGCAUCCACAUUUCAGCAUACAGUCGUAGGCUCACUUUGCUGUUGGCAGCAGUUUGGCUUUUAUUUCUUCACUGAUGUUAUGUCUGAAGCCACCACUGGCUCUUAGUGCUCUGGAUGGAGUGUUGAAAACAAGGCUGUUGUUUUAUCACACUCAGCUGUCUCUCCUCCCUCAGCACAUGCCCCUAGGAAGUAGUCGGUGCACACACUGCCCACUACAUCCCUGCAACAGCAGCUCUUCACUGGUGUCUGUAACGCACUCACGCAGAGCAGAUGGACUCUCAAGGUGCAUCUCUUUUUCUUUGGCUGUGUGAUGGCUAUAAAGGCAGCUAUGAGGUGCAUAUCUUCCACGCUGCCAAUAACCUGUUACAAACCUUGUGCCUACAGUAGGGUCACUGUCUGCAGACCAGCUUUCCUGCUCUAUACCACAUUGCCCUGCCUUAUCUGUCCUCUCCCUAACAAGUAUCAUGUAUCACUGUGCAUGUCAGUGCUUCCAGAGCUAUGACUGCACGGUGGCUAGGAGAGAGACAUCCUUUGAUUUCAUUGAUGUUAUUAGGCACUGGGUUGUCAUCUAAUACGCCCGUAGUUGGGCACCAGUUUAUUGAAAACUAGCUAGCUAUGUGUUCAUGACUUCUUGCUUAACAGGAUAUUUUACCCUGCAGAAACAAAUCUGAACACGUUUGUAGUGCUACAGAGUUCAUCUCUUUCCUUCCUGAAGUGUUGCUCUUUGCUCGCAAGGGUUGGGGUAUCUUGGUUUGUACUUGUUAAGGCAAAACUCCUACUAACAUGCUGUAGUCUGUUGGCUCUUCCCAACAGACUCUCAGAGCUGGCAGCAAAACUUCACUUCCGAGUGAUCUAUACUAGCAUGAAAAGCAGGCAUGGAGGGAAAUUGAGUUUGCAGCCUGUGGUGUCCUGCAUUGCCACUCCAGCUGUGUUGUUGCAGUUACUGGAUCUAAGACUAAAACCGCUGAGUAUGGUGCCUCCAGGUCCUCAGUGGGUGCUUCCAACUGACAGCUUACUGGGACGGGGCUCAGUCAGAGCUGAUGGCAAAGAAGGCAUCUCUGUAUAAUACUUCUUUGAAUAGCGUCUAGCAGCAGUAGGGUGGAGAGAAAGACUUGGACAGCACCUGUAGGGCAGAGCAUAUGUUUGCACAGUCACUGUCUGCAUCUCUGCAUCUCUGUACUACUGCAGCACUAUAAUGGUCUCCCUCACUCUUGUGGUAAGACAACAACUGCUCUUCUCAGCAUCAGCUCAGGGCUUGAGAUUUCUUUGUCUGAUGCUAGUAUCAUGCAGUACAAGCAGAAUGUGUGUAUGAGCCUUUAAUUCAGGGAAAAUGACACUGACAAGCCACAGCAGUAUCAAUGGCCAUCAGCUUUCAUGACCCUCUUUAUUAGUUUUGGAUUCUCCCUGACACAUAUGCAAAAAUAAGCAAAAGCAAUUCAUUCGGAAAGGACCAUUUGUAAAAUGGACUCUGGUAUGACAGUUGCAGCCUCACUGAGCCUUCUGGACCUUGUAUUUCACCUUUCAUUUGGUCAACAGAAGAGGAUUGUUACUGCUAAGAAUUGCUCAAUGCACACUUUGUAAAUGAAAUAUUGCCCUGGGAGAGUGUCACCCAAACACUCUUAGCUUGCUUAUGGCUUGGUGACAUUUCAGAUGUUGGUCUCAACCUGCUAAAAACAAGUGGGUUUGGGCUAAGUAUUCACAGAGCUUGCCUGUAGCAGGUGGUGGGGACAACCAGACACUCAGUUCAAGCCAGGAAGAACAGUGGGUAAGUCAUGAACAAUUCCUGAUAAGAGGAUGAAGAGGAGAGACAUUUCCAAAAUCCAUGUCUAUUGAUUCUCUGAAGUCAAAGGGUGCAGGGUGAUAAAACCUUCCUCUGGCUCUCAGGUAGAAAAUGCCUUGUGGAUGUGGGGGAUCAGUGAACACUGCCUCUUGCAUCAGUUGGCACUUGUAGCACAACAUAAUGCACCACAUGGCACAAGUGAUUUUGUACAUGUGUAUUUUUGCAAAGGCCAUGUUAUAACUCUCUAUAGGCACUGCUAGACCAGUAUGGUGGGAGUUAUGUAAAGCACUUAUAUUCCACAGGUGGUAUAGGUUGUGCCUACACUGAGUGUUAGAAAGGGAAAAAACAGUAUUUGGAUUCAUUCCUCUGACUUGUCUUGUUUCUGCCUUUACUCUCACAGGCCUUCCCCGUGCUUCACACAGCCUUUGGGUGAUGUUGUUGUUUGCAGGGCUGUGUGGAAGCUAUUCUGUGACUUUUCUUUUAAAGCAGUUCUUUGAAAUUCUGCUGUGUCUGUAAUAGGGUUUGAGCACGGUUGCGUCACUGUUGUGAUGGUCUGUCAAGCCUUCUAAUUGGGUUGUCUCAUUAAAACUUACAAUCAGCGCUUACAAGGCAGCAAUCCUGUAGUCCAACACUGUAGCUGGAGCCACACUGGCUGACCAAGUGCCUGCACGUGGGUUGGGAUCUGGAUGCAGAGGUCAAUGGGAACCUGUGUCUCUGAACUCAUCCCAAAAUAAAGUUUGAAUGUAUCAGACCACCUCUGACUUUACUUCCUCUGCAA